rnacentral:sRNA from 1 species
AGGGGGUGCCUUUCAGGCAUCCUCUCCUAAAACUUUCAAGGCCGGCCCCCAGGGGUCGGCCAUUUUUUUGCGGCCU